rnacentral:rRNA from 2 species
UGCCUUGUCGUUAUCUAUACAUGCAGUCGAACGAACUCUGGUAUUGAUUGGUGCUUGCAUCAUGAUUUACAUUUGAGUGAGUGGCGAACUGGUGAGUAACACGUGGGAAACCUGCCCAGAAGCGGGGGAUAACACCUGGAAACAGAUGCUAAUACCGCAUAACAACUUGGACCGCAUGGUCCGAGUUUGAAAGAUGGCUUCGGCUAUCACUUUUGGAUGGUCCCGCGGCGUAUUAGCUAGAUGGUGGGGUAACGGCUCACCAUGGCAAUGAUACGUAGCCGACCUGAGAGGGUAAUCGGCCACAUUGGGACUGAGACACGGCCCAAACUCCUACGGGAGGCAGCAGUAGGGAAUCUUCCACAAUGGACGAAAGUCUGAUGGAGCAACGCCGCGUGAGUGAAGAAGGGUUUCGGCUCGUAAAACUCUGUUGUUAAAGAAGAACAUAUCUGAGAGUAACUGUUCAGGUAUUGACGGUAUUUAACCAGAAAGCCACGGCUAACUACGUGCCAGCAGCCGCGGUAAUACGUAGGUGGCAAGCGUUUGUCCGGAUUUAUUGGGCGUAAAGCGAGCGCAGGCGGUUUUUUAAGUCUGAUGUGAAAGCCUUCGGCUCAACCGAAGAAGUGCAUCGGAAACUGGGAAACUUGAGUGCAGAAAAGGACAGUGGAACUCCGUGUGUACCGGUGAAAUGUGUAAAUAUAUGGAACAAGAAUCAGUGGCGAAGGGGGUCUGUCUGGGGGUGUAUCUGACACUGUUGC